CCUACGGGAGGCAGCAGUGAGGAAUAUUGGUCAAUGGCCGGAAGGCUGAACCAGCCAUGCCGCGUGAAGGUCAGUGCCCUAUGGGCGUUAAACUUCUUUUGUGCGGGAGCAAUAAUGGUCACGUGUGGCCAGACGAGAGUACCGUACGAAUAAGCAUCGGCUAACUCCGUGCCAGCAGCCGCGGUAAUACGGGGGAUGCAAGCGUUAUCCGGAUUUAUUGGGUUUAAAGGGUGCGUAGGCUGGUAGGUAAGUCAGCGGUGAAAUGCCCCCGCGCAACGGGGUGAAGUGCCAUUGAUACUGCCUUGCUGGAAUGCGGAUGCCGUGGGAGGAAUGUGUGGUGUAGCGGUGAAAGGCAUAGAUAUCACACAGAACACCGAUUGCGAAGGCAUCUCACGAACCCGCGAUUGACGCUGAUGCACGAAAGCGUGGGUAUCAAACAGGAUUAGAUACCCUUGUAGUC
rnacentral:rRNA from 1 species